AUGGCUUCUGAACCAUUGAGCCUCAGGCUUAUCUUUGAUGACAUUUACUGUCUUGGUCACAAAGCACUUAGUUUGUAUCUUGGAACUCUUGGAGAACUCACUGCUUUUGAAUAUGGGGACAUUUUCACAAAUACACUUUUCAUCAAUUACCAAAAGACCAUACUAGCUCUAACUUUAUCUCUGUCUCUCUCACAUCCUCUUCUCUUCCUCUCUCUUUCUCUCGAUCUUUUUUCUUCUUCUCUGCCUCCGAUUCACCGGAGAUCCACCGUCUCUCCUCCUUCUCGUCCGUCCUUAACCAAGGCUUGGACGUCGCAUCUCUCCUCCUUCUCCUCUUACUUCCUCCGAUUCUGCGAUCUCGGGUUGCUUCGCAACCACACCAAAGCUCUCUGCCUCUCCGCCGGCGUCGGACACGCUCCGAUGGCGAUGGCCCAGAUCGGGUUAUCUGACGUUACCGCCGUGGAGUUGGUGGAUUCGCUUCCUCUCGUGAGAAGAGCUGAUCCUCAUAACCUUCCUUUUUUCGACGGUGCGUUUGAUUUCGCGUUUACUGCGCAUCUUGAUGAUGCUCUGUUUCCGUGGAGGGUCGUGGAGGAGAUGGAGAGGACGGUGAGGUGAGGCGGGUUUUGCGUGGUGGCGGUUGACGAAUGCGGUGGGGAUGAUGUUAGGGAGAUUGCUAGACUGUUCUUGAAGUCUAAGCUCGUUGAUGUUGCUAAUGUAACCUUAGAAGGAUCCAAAAUGAUUAGUAUACUACUCAAAGUUCAAGACUUUAAGACAUGACUGACUCUGUUUUUGUCUUAUCAAUGUUUGGUUUUUCAAAGUUUGUGCAUUAUAUCUAAUCCUUUUAUAUGUGACUGUGUUUAU